rnacentral:misc_RNA from 1 species
GAUGAAGAACGUAGCGAAAUGCGAUACGUAAUGUGAAUUGCAGAAUUCAGUGAAUCAUCGAGUCUUUGAACGCACAUUGCGCCCCCUGGUAUCCCGGGGGGCAUGCCUGUCCGAGCGUCAUUGCUGCCCUCAAGCACGGCUUGUGUGUUGGGCCUCCGUCCUCCUCCCGGGGGACGGGCCCGAAAGGCAGCGGCGGCACCGCGUCCGGUCCUCGAGCGUAUGGGGCUUCGUCACCCGCUCUUGUAGGCCCGGCCGGCGCUUGCCGACACAUCAAUCUUUUUUCCAGGUUGACCUCGGAUCAGGUAGGGAUACCCGCUGAACUUAAGCAUAUCAAUAAGCGGAGGA